AUUGAACGCUGGCGGCAGGCCUAACACAUGCAAGUCGAGCGGGGUUUUCGGACCUAGCGGCGGACGGGUGAGUAAUGCGUAGGAAGCUACCCGGUAGAGGGGGAUACCAGUUGGAAACGACUGUUAAUACCGCAUAAUGUCUACGGACCAAAGUGUGAGACCUUCGGGCCACAUGCUGUCGGAUGCGCCUACGUGGGAUUAGCUAGUUGGUGGGGUAACGGCUCACCAAGGCGACGAUCCCUAGCUGGUUUGAGAGGAUGAUCAGCCACACUGGAACUGAGACACGGUCCAGACUCCUACGGGAGGCAGCAGUGGGGAAUUUUGCGCAAUGGAUGAGAGUCUGACGCAGCAACGCCGCGUGGGUGAUGAAGGUCUUCGGACUGUAAAACCCUGUCGUCAGGGACGAAGGUGGCACGACUAAUAAUCGUGUUACUUGACGGUACCUGGAGAGGAAGCCCCGGCUAACUCUGUGCCAGCCGCCGCGGUAAAAC
rnacentral:rRNA from 1 species